ensembl:scaRNA
GGUCAGUGAUGUGAUGUAAAAGGUCUGAAUCUCAGCUCCUCCCCCUCUGCCGCCAUCUUGGCUCCCAGCAGCCCCUGCUCUCUGCUCCCAUCAUGCUCUAGUGAUGCAGUGAUGGUCUCAGGAGCUGCUGACAGACAGGAAGUGACAUCACAGAGUGAGUCUGUACAGAGAUCCUAUUGGCUCAGAGUGAUGACUGAUGUCCAACAGAACCAAUCAGCACGGAGCGUCAGGCCGAAGGGGUGGGGCUUGAGAGAUGAUCUCACUCUGCUGCUGAGACC